AGAAUCAACGCUGGCGGCGUGCCUAACACAUGCAAGUCGAACGGGAAAGUGGAGCAAUCCAUGAGUAUAGUGGCUACCGGGUGAGUAACACGUGACUAACCUACCCUUGAGUGGGGGAUAACCUCGGGAAACCGGGCUAAUACCGCAUAACAUCUUCGGGAUGAGAAGCUGAAGAUCAAAGGAGCAAUUCGCUUUCGGAGGGGGUCGCGGCUGAUUAGCUAGUUGGCGGGUAACGCCCACCAAGGCUUUGAUCGGUA
rnacentral:rRNA from 1 species